rnacentral:rRNA from 1 species
AUUGAACGCUGGCGGCAGGCCUAACACAUGCAAGUCGAGCGGAUGAAGGGAGCUUGCUCCUGGAUUCAGCGGCGGACGGGUGAGUAAUGCCUAGGAAUCUGCCUGGUAGUGGGGGAUAACGUCCGGAAACGGGCGCUAAUACCGCAUACGUCCUGAGGGAGAAAGUGGGGGAUCUUCGGACCUCACGCUAUCAGAUGAGCCUAGGUCGGAUUAGCUAGUUGGUGGGGUAAAGGCCUACCAAGGCGACGAUCCGCAACUGGUCUGAGAGGAUGAUCAGUCACACUGGGACUGAGACACGGUCCAGACUCCUACGGGAGGCAGCAGUGGGGAAUAUUGGACAAUGGGCGAAAGCCUGAUCCAGCCAUGCCGCGUGUGUGAAGAAGGUCUUCGGAUUGUAAAGCACUUUAAGUUGGGAGGAAGGGCAGUAAGUUAAUACCUUGCUGUUUUGACGUUACCAACAGAAUAAGCACCGGCUAACUUCGUG